rnacentral:rRNA from 1 species
UGGGGAAUAUUGGACAAUGGGCGAAAGCCUGAUCCAGCCAUGCCGCGUGUGUGAAGAAGGUCUUCGGAUUGUAAAGCACUUUAAGUUGGGAGGAAGGGCAGUAAGCGAAUACCUUGCUGUUUUGACGUUACCGACAGAAUAAGCACCGGCUAACUCUGUGCCAGCAGCCGCGGUAAUACAGAGGGUGCAAGCGUUAAUCGGAAUUACUGGGCGUAAAGCGCGCGUAGGUGGUUCGUUAAGUUGAAUGUGAAAGCCCCGGGCUCAACCUGGGAACUGCAUCCAAAACUGGCGAGCUAGAGUAGGGCAGAGGGUGGUGGAAUUUCCUGUGUAGCGGUGAAAUGCGUAGAUAUAGGAAGGAACAACAGUGGCGAAGGCGACCACCUGGGCUCAUACUGACACUGAGGUGCGAAAGCGUGGGGAGCAAACAGG